rnacentral:lncRNA from 1 species
AGGAUGCAUACGAUACUAAAAUUUUGCACCAAAAAUGUUCACUCCUUUUCUUCCAAAGCACUGUGGAUAUAGGGUUCAACGUAACUUUCAUACUCGCAAGUUUACCUACAGAUAUAUCUUUUCAAGUUUUAUCAUAUAUUUUUUGUGUCCUUGCAUUUCGAAAGCUGUUUCGAGGAUUCUGAUUUUUCACAUGAAUUUCUAAUUUCAAUUUGCGGAAGUACCUUAACAUUUGCCAUACGGGAACCGGCGGAUACAACUUGUAAAGAACAGAACAGAUCUAUGCAGACGUUUUUUGGAUGCAAGAUUUCGUAUUCACCAGCAUAAUGAUAAUGUAGGGUAGAGCGAAGUAUCAUGUGCUGGUAUGCAGAACAAGUAGAGUGAAGUAUCACGUGCUGGUAUGCAGAACAAGUAGAGUGAAGUAUCACGUGCUGGUAUGCAGAACAAGUAGAGUGAAGUAUCACGUGCUGGUAUUGAGAACAAGUAGAGUGAAGUAUCACGUGCUGGUAUUCAGAACAAGUAGAGUGAAGUAUCACGUGCUGGUAUUCAGAACAAGUAGAGUGAAAUAUCACGUGCUGGUGAAAUAUCACGUGCUGGUAUUCAGAACAAGUAGAGUGAAGUAUCACGUGCUGGUAUUCAGAACAAGUAGAGUGAAGUAUCACGUACUGGUAUUCAGAACAAGUAGAGUGAAAUAUCACCUGCUGGUAUUCAGAACAAGUAGAGUGAAGCAUCACGUGCUGGUAUGCAGAACAAAUAGUGAAGUAUCACGUGCUGGUAUUCAGAACAAGUAGAGUGAAGUAUCACGUGCUGGUAUUGAGAACAAGUAGAGUGAAAUAUCACGUGCUGGUAUUAAUGUUCAGAGCAAUACGGUACUAAAGAAAUUUGUUUUUACAGGAGUGAAAAAUCUCAAAAAAAAUAUUGGUAUUACUUACAGUUCUUUCAUUGAACACAUAACAAAGGGGGUGAACUACUCUAAAACAUGAGUAAUAUGCGCCCUAAUCUAAAGAGAAACCUGUCAAUACAUACAGGAAAGAAGUGUAUCAAAAGUGUUGUAGAUGAUUAUGCAUAGUAUUCCAGCAGAAACCAAUGACAAUAUGACAACACAUAACGUGGAGCAAAACUUUAAAUGUCCUGCUUGUGAUUUUGCAUCUUAUACAAGCAGUAGUCUGAGGAGUCAUAUGAAAAAACAUAAUGGAGAAAACUAUUUGAAAUGUAAUGUUUGUGAUUAUGCUAGCCACCAUAGCAGUAAUCUGAAGAGGCAUAUGGCAAAACAUUCUGGAGAGAAAUGCUUUAAGUGCAAUUUUUGUGAGUAUGCGUGUCACCAGAAUGAUAAUCUGAAAAAGCACAUGGUAACUCAUACUAGGAGAGAAACGCUUCACAUGCGAUGUUUGUGAUUAUGUAAGUUAUACUAAAUAUAGACUAAACAGACACUCGAGAAUACAUACAAAGAGAAAAACGCUUUAAGUGCAAUAUUUGUGAUUAUGCGUGUCACCUGAACAGCUAUCUGAAGAGACACAAUGACAAUUCAUACAUGGAGAGAAACGCUUCAAAUGCGAUGUUUGUGAUUAUGCAAGUUCUACUAAACAUAGACUAAACACACACUCGAGAAUACAUACAAGAGAUAAAAUCUUUAAGUGCAAUAUUUGCGUUUAUGCGUGUAACCAUAACGGCAAUCUAAAGAAGCAUAUGGCAAUUCAUACUGGAGAGAAACGCUUUAAAUGUAGUGUUUGUGAUUAUGCAUGUCAUAAUAACAGUAUACUGAAGAGGCACAUGGCCAUACAUACUGGAGAGAAACGCUUUAAAUGUAGUGUUUGUGAUUAUGCAUGUCAUAAUAACAGUAUACUGAAGAGGCACAUGGCAAUACAUACUGGAGAGAAACGCUUUAAAUGUAUUGUUUGUGAUUAUGCAUGUCAUAAUAACAGUAUAUUGAAGCGGCACAUGGCAAUACAUACUGGAGAGAAACGCUUCAAAUGCGAUGUUUGUGAUUAUGCAAGUAUUCAGAAAAAAAACUCUGAAAAUACAUAUGAGAAAACAUACAGGAGAGAAAUGCUUUAAAUGUGGGAUGUGUAAUUAUGCAUGUAACCAAAGGACUAAUUUGCAAGUACAUAAACUGAAACACACUGGAAAUAGAAAUUUCAGAUGUGAUAUUUGUGAUAAUGCAUUUUAUACAAUGAAUAUGCUCAAAGUGCAUAUAAGAACACAUAUAGAAGACAAAUUGUAUAACUGUGAUAUUUGCGGUUCUGCCUUUAAAUCGAAAGGUAGUCUGAAGACACACAUUGGAAAGUAUGUAGGAUGAAAACACUUCAGGUACGAUUUCCACACCGUUCAUCAGAAAUCACAAGUGACAACACAAACUAAAAAUAACUAUUAUGAAUGUAUUGUUUGUAAUGUGUUCGUGUAAUGCAAGAAGCUAUCUGUAGAAAUAUGUAGUAAUACAUAAAGGAGAGAAACGCUUUAAAUGUAACUAUUGUGAUUGACAGUUAUCUGAAGAGACAUAUGAAAAAACAUACAGGAGAGAAACGCUUUAACGAAUUUCUAAACGCGACGACUUACAUGCAUCUGACGUGACAAAUGACGUCACACACCCGAUAUGAAUUUUGAACGUCGUCAGUAUGAAAACGUUCUGCCGUUUCAGGUUCCAAUGAAACUUAACAGAGUUUAUAAUAAGUUUGUCAUAAUUUUAAUUAUGCAUGUACUAAUCAAAAGUGUGCUCUGAAAAAAAAUGAAACCACCUACAUGGGAAGAACGCAAAUGUUUACAAGUGAUUUUGCAUGUAAUAUAUGCAUUUAGGCCUACCUCAAAAAGCAUUAUGAGGAAACAUCAAUGGUAGAAAAUUUAUAAGUAUGAUUCGUGUGAGUAUGCAUGCAUACAAGAGAAUAUCUAAAAACAUGUGAGAAUAAAUACAGAAUAGAAAUGC